rnacentral:rRNA from 1 species
GGUUAAGCGACUAAGCGUACACGGUGGAUGCCCUGGCAGUCAGAGGCGAUGAAGGACGUGCUAAUCUGCGAUAAGCGUCGGUAAGGUGAUAUGAACCGUUAUAACCGGCGAUUUCCGAAUGGGGAAACCCAGUGUGAUUCGUCACACUAUCAUUAACUGAAUCCAUAGGUUAAUGAGGCGAACCGGGGGAACUGAAACAUCUAAGUACCCCGAGGAAAAGAAAUCAACCGAGAUUCCCCCAGUAGCGGCGAGCGAACGGGGAGCAGCCCAGAGCCUGAAUCAGUGUGUGUGUUAGUGGAAGCGUCUGGAAAGGCGCGCGAUACAGGGUGACAGCCCCGUACACAAAAAUGCACAUACUGUGAGCUCGAUGAGUAGGGCGGGACACGUGGUAUCCUGUCUGAAUAUGGGGGGACCAUCCUCCAAGGCUAAAUACUCCUGACUGACCGAUAGUGAACCAGUACCGUGAGGGAAAGGCGAAAAGAACCCCGGCGAGGGGAGUGAAAAAGAACCUGAAACCGUGUACGUACAAGCAGUGGGAGCACGCUUAGGCGUGUGACUGCGUACCUUUUGUAUAAUGGGUCAGCGACUUAUAUUCUGUAGCAAGGUUAACCGAAUAGGGGAGCCGAAGGGAAACCGAGUCUUAACUGGGCGUUAAGUUGCAGGGUAUAGACCCGAAACCCGGUGAUCUAGCCAUGGGCAGGUUGAAGGUUGGGUAACACUAACUGGAGGACCGAACCGACUAAUGUUGAAAAAUUAGCGGAUGACUUGUGGCUGGGGGUGAAAGGCCAAUCAAACCGGGAGAUAGCUGGUUCUCCCCGAAAGCUAUUUAGGUAGCGCCUCGUGAAUUCAUCUCCGGGGGUAGAGCACUGUUUCGGCAAGGGGGUCAUCCCGACUUACCAACCCGAUGCAAACUGCGAAUACCGGAGAAUGUUAUCACGGGAGACACACGGCGGGUGCUAACGUCCGUCGUGAAGAGGGAAACAACCCAGACCGCCAGCUAAGGUCCCAAAGUCAUGGUUAAGUGGGAAACGAUGUGGGAAGGCCCAGACAGCCAGGAUGUUGGCUUAGAAGCAGCCAUCAUUUAAAGAAAGCGUAAUAGCUCACUGGUCGAGUCGGCCUGCGCGGAAGAUGUAACGGGGCUAAACCAUGCACCGAAGCCGCGGCAGCGACGCUUAUGCGUUGUUGGGUAGGGGAGCGUUCUGUAAGCCUGCGAAGGUGUGCUGUGAGGCAUGCUGGAGGUAUCAGAAGUGCGAAUGCUGACAUAAGUAACGAUAAAGCGGGUGAAAAGCCCGCUCGCCGGAAGACCAAGGGUUCCUGUCCAACGUUAAUCGGGGCAGGGUGAGUCGACCCCUAAGGCGAGGCCGAAAGGCGUAGUCGAUGGGAAACAGGUUAAUAUUCCUGUACUUGGUGUUACUGCGAAGGGGGGACGGAGAAGGCUAUGUUGGCCGGGCGACGGUUGUCCCGGUUUAAGCGUGUAGGCUGGUUUUCCAGGCAAAUCCGGAAAAUCAAGGCUGAGGCGUGAUGACGAGGCACUACGGUGCUGAAGCAACAAAUGCCCUGCUUCCAGGAAAAGCCUCUAAGCAUCAGGUAACAUCAAAUCGUACCCCAAACCGACACAGGUGGUCAGGUAGAGAAUACCAAGGCGCUUGAGAGAACUCGGGUGAAGGAACUAGGCAAAAUGGUGCCGUAACUUCGGGAGAAGGCACGCUGAUAUGUAGGUGAAGUCCCUCGCGGAUGGAGCUGAAAUCAGUCGAAGAUACCAGCUGGCUGCAACUGUUUAUUAAAAACACAGCACUGUGCAAACACGAAAGUGGACGUAUACGGUGUGACGCCUGCCCGGUGCCGGAAGGUUAAUUGAUGGGGUUAGCGCAAGCGAAGCUCUUGAUCGAAGCCCCGGUAAACGGCGGCCGUAACUAUAACGGUCCUAAGGUAGCGAAAUUCCUUGUCGGGUAAGUUCCGACCUGCACGAAUGGCGUAAUGAUGGCCAGGCUGUCUCCACCCGAGACUCAGUGAAAUUGAACUCGCUGUGAAGAUGCAGUGUACCCGCGGCAAGACGGAAAGACCCCGUGAACCUUUACUAUAGCUUGACACUGAACAUUGAGCCUUGAUGUGUAGGAUAGGUGGGAGGCUUUGAAGUGUGGACGCCAGUCUGCAUGGAGCCGACCUUGAAAUACCACCCUUUAAUGUUUGAUGUUCUAACGUGGACCCGUAAUCCGGGUUGCGGACAGUGUCUGGUGGGUAGUUUGACUGGGGCGGUCUCCUCCUAAAGAGUAACGGAGGAGCACGAAGGUUGGCUAAUCCUGGUCGGACAUCAGGAGGUUAGUGCAAUGGCAUAAGCCAGCUUGACUGCGAGCGUGACGGCGCGAGCAGGUGCGAAAGCAGGUCAUAGUGAUCCGGUGGUUCUGAAUGGAAGGGCCAUCGCUCAACGGAUAAAAGGUACUCCGGGGAUAACAGGCUGAUACCGCCCAAGAGUUCAUAUCGACGGCGGUGUUUGGCACCUCGAUGUCGGCUCAUCACAUCCUGGGGCUGAAGUAGGUCCCAAGGGUAUGGCUGUUCGCCAUUUAAAGUGGUACGCGAGCUGGGUUUAGAACGUCGUGAGACAGUUCGGUCCCUAUCUGCCGUGGGCGCUGGAGAACUGAGGGGGGCUGCUCCUAGUACGAGAGGACCGGAGUGGACGCAUCACUGGUGUUCGGGUUGUCAUGCCAAUGGCACUGCCCGGUAGCUAAAUGCGGAAGAGAUAAGUGCUGAAAGCAUCUAAGCACGAAACUUGCCCCGAGAUGAGUUCUCCCUGACUCCUUGAGAGUCCUGAAGGAACGUUGAAGACGACGACGUUGAUAGGCCGGGUGUGUAAGCGCAGCGAUGCGUUGAGCUAACCGGUACUAAUGAACCGUGAGGCUUAACCUU